UACAGAGGGUGCGAGCGUUAAUCGGAAUUACUGGGCGUAAAGCGUGCGUAGACGGUUAUUUAAGUCGGGUGUGAAAGCCCCGGGCUCAACCUGGGAAUUGCAUUCGAGACUGAAUAGCUAGGGUACGGUAGAGGGAAGCGGAAUUUCCGGUGUAGCGGUGAAAUGCGUAGAUAUCGGGAGGAACACCAGUGGCGAAGGCGGCUACCUGGCCCACUCUUGACGCUGAGGCGCGAAAGCUAGGGGAGCAAACGGG
rnacentral:rRNA from 1 species